GCCACAGCCAUAUCACCCUGCAGCCCAAGACUGGUUGCCCACUGAAGCUAAGCAGGGCUGAGCCUGGUCAGUACCUGGAUGGGAGACCUCUUGGGAAAACUAGGUUGCUGCUGGAA
ensembl:rRNA 5S_rRNA 5S ribosomal RNA